CUCCAUUGCGGCAAAGACUUCAGAGCCUUUGCUAAUCUCUUUUUUCCUUUUCAUUUCUUUCUCAGCCUCUUCCAACCUUUUCUAAAGAGUUUUUACACCCCUUCUCCAAAGAAUCAUUUUUCUUCUCUAGUUUGUUAGUUUGCAAAACACAGACCUCAUACUUUCUUUGUCAAUCAUGAUGAAGAAUGAUAGCUCGCAAGAGAUGACCGUUAAUAAUAUUUCUUCUUUGCUUGAGAGCCAUAUCCUUCGUAAACUUAUCUCAAUUGGAGUUAAAAUACAGAAAAGAGUAUAUGUCGCUCUAGAGACAAUGGCAGGAAUCAUUGAUAAAGCCCUGG
rnacentral:lncRNA from 1 species